UUUUGAUUUUAAAAUUUUGAACUUAGUAGUAGAUCUAUUAAAUUGGGCUCAUAUAUCUAGUAAAUUAAAUGGGCUAUUUUAUUAAAAAAGGGGCAAAAAGUGGAUGAAUUUUCAAAAUCGACCAAAUAUUUCAUAAAUCUAGCGUUUGGCCCAAAUUCAAAGAUACGAGGUUGUGAUGAUUACUGGAAAAAUUAUAGCAAAAUGAAGCUGAAAAGAUUUGUUUCAAUCCCAGUUUUAUCAGUAAUUACUCUAGUCGGAUUCGUAUACUACACGACCCUGUUUGUGUUCAUUGAAGAUUGGAUUGGGUUACAGAGCUCAGCUGGAUUUCUCAACUCUUUGAUCUUCACUGCUUUGGCUUCCAUGUGUGUAUUUUCGUUUCUAGUGUGUGUUCUAGCGGAUCCCGGCGGCGUACCGUCUGGAUUUCUCCCUGAUGUUGAAGAUAGCUACGCCUCAGAUCAGGAAACCAAGAGAAACGGUGUGGUUCCAAAGAAAUGUGAUAAGUGUUCGGCAUACAAGCCUCCUAGAGCUCAUCAUUGCCGGGUCUGCAGAAGGUGUGUUCUGAGGAUGGAUCACCACUGUACCUGGAUUAAUAACUGCGUGGGACAGAGAAAUUAUAAGCCGUUUCUUCUUUUAGUCUUCUACGCAACUGCUGCAACCACAUACUCUGCGGCUAUCAUAAUAAGCUGCAUAAUCAAGGACUGGGAUACUGGUGCCAGUUCCACUUCAAAGACCUUUCGAAUUGGUAUUGGAUUGUGGAUUACAGCUUUAAGUUUGACACUUGGAAGUCUCUUAAUCUGGAAUAUAUACCUUGCUUCUCAUAACAUGACAACUAUAGAGUACCACGAGGGAAAACGAGCUGCUUGGUUGGCGAGGAAAUCUGGACUGAGCUACCACCAUCCUUACGAUGUUGGCUUUUACAAAAACGCAACCCUGGUUUUGGGUUCUAAUAUGCUAAAAUGGCUUUGGCCAACGGCAACCAGUCACAUCAAAGACGGACUUAGCUUCCCUACCAUACGUGAAAGCUCAUAACCCGCAUUGAUCUUGUAUCAUCUCCUGAAAACACCAAAUUCCCUUGACUCGGUUAUUUUUAGUAUGUGUUGGAUCAGUGACAUCUGCAUCUCCUCUGGGUAAAAACUGUGUAUAUGCUGCUGACCUGGGAAAAUGCAUUCAGGCCCCUCGAAUCGCUUGAUAUCAUAUUUGCUCAAAACCGUGACUUGUGAAGGAUUGGGAUUUUUCAGCUCUCCCUUAUUAGGUGAAAAGGAACUUUGAGAUUCAGACAAGGCAUUUGGCAAGAUUGAAAUUUGAACUAACCUCAUGUCGUCUAAUUGAAAAACUCCCAAUUUUGGGCUCAAAUGUUGUCUUUUCAAUUGAAACUAUUCUUGUGUCGUGUAAUUGAAUACUCCCAAUUUGGGCUUAAAUGUUGUCUUUUCAAUGUUUUCAUCUCCCAA